rnacentral:misc_RNA from 1 species
CACAAAUGAAAAUAUGAAGGCCCUUCAAACCGGCUGGAUUAUUUUUCUUCACCCUUGUCUUUUGCGCACUUGUUGUUUCCUGGGCGGGUUCGCUCGCCACCAGGACCACACCAUAAACCUUUUUGUUAAUGCAAUCAGCGUCAGUAAAAAGUAAUAAUUAUUUUA